UUGCCAGACUCCUACGGGAGGCAGCAGUGGGGGAUAUUGCACAAUGGGGGGAACCCUGAUGCAGCGACGCCGCGUGGGUGAAGAAGUAUUUCGGUAUGUAAAGCCCUAUCGGCAGGGAAGAAUUUAGACGGUACCUGACUAAGAAGCCCCGGCUAACUACGUGCCAGCAGCCGCGGUAAUACGUAGGGGGCAAGCGUUAUCCGGAUUCACUGGGUGUAAAGGGAGCGUAGACGGCCGUGCAAGCCUGGAGUGAAAGCCCGGGGCCCAACCCCGGGACUGCAUUUGAAACUGUCAGGCUGGAGUGCAGGAGAGGUAAGUGGAAUUCCUAGUGUAGCGGUGAAAUGCGUAGAUAUUAGGAGGAACACCAGUGGCGAAGGCGGCUUACUGGACUGUAACUGACGUUGAGGCUCGAAAGCGUGGGGAGCAAACAGGAUUAGAUACCCGUGUA
rnacentral:rRNA from 1 species